CUCGGAUCAGGUAGGGAUACCCGCUGAACUU
rnacentral:rRNA from 1 species